UACGGGGGGGGCAAGCGUUGUUCGGAAUUACUGGGCGUAAAGGGCUCGUAGGUGGCCAACUAAGUCAGACGUGAAAUCCCUCAGCUUAACUGGGGAACUGCGUCUGAUACUGGAUGGCUUGAGUUUGGGAGAGGGAUGCGGAAUUCCAGGUGUAGCGGUGAAAUGCGUAGAUAUCGGAAGGAACACCAGUGGCGAAAGCGGCUUCCUGGUCCAGCACCGACGUUCAGGCACGAAAGCGUGGGGAGCAAACAGG
rnacentral:rRNA from 1 species